ACCGCCAUAUCACAUUGAAACACCGGUUCUAUUCCGAUCACCGAAGUUAAGCAAUGUCGGGCCCGGUCAGUACUUGGGAGGGUGACCACUUUGUAACAACGGGUGCUGUAGGCU